CCCUUACGACCAGGGCUACACACGUGCUACAAUGGAGCGUACAAAGGGCUGCGAUCUCGCGAGAGUCAGCUAAUCCCAUAAAACGCUUCGUAGUCCGGAUCGCAGUCUGCAACUCGACUGCGUGAAGUCGGAAUCGCUAGUAAUCGUAGAUCAGAAUGCUACGGUGAAUACGUUCCCGGGUCUUGUACACACCGCCCGUCACACCAUGGGAGCGGGU
rnacentral:rRNA from 17 species